UACGACUACAUAUCAGGCAUAUCAAUAAGCGGAGGAAAAGAAACUAACAAGGAUUCCCUAGUAACGGCGAGUGAAGCGGGAAGAGCUCAAAUUUGAAAUCUUCAAGGGUUCUACCUUUACGAAUUGUAGUUUAAAGAAGUGUUUUCUGUUAGAUGAGUAGCAAAAGUUCCUUGGAAUGGGACAUCAUAGAGGGUGAGAAUCCCGUAUUUGGUUAUUCAUUCUAGCUUUGUGAUACACUUCAAAGAGUCGGAUUGUUUGGGAAUGCAGUCCAAAAUGGGUGGUAAAUUUCAUCUAAAGCUAAAUAUUGGCGAGAGACCGAUAGCGAACAAGUACCGUGAGGGAAAGAUGAAAAGAACUUUGAAAAGAGAGUUAAACAGUACGUGAAAUUGUCAAAAGGGGAAGCGUUUGACACCAGUGUUGUUUAGUUGAAAAUCAAUUCAAUAGUUUUUGAUUCUAAGUAGUAUUGACUUCAUCAGCUUGCUGCUUUCUUCUCAGAAAUUAUUGAAUGCACUUUUCAGUUAACAAGUCAACAUCAAUUUCUUUUGUUGUAAAAGGGUAAGAGGAAGGUGGCUUGCGCUUCGGCUCAAGUGUUUAUAGCCUUUUAUCUCUGCAAUCGGAGAGAUUGAGGUCUGCAGCGUAGAUCCUUCGGGGUUAGAUACAUUGGUGCUAAGCUAUAGCCUUGUAUAGACAACUUGUUGACUAUGCUCAGUCAUGUAGCUUACUCGCUGAUGCUAUUUUACCUACGCUUAGGAUGUUGAGUAGCGACAUACGCAC
rnacentral:rRNA from 1 species